rfam:Triticum urartu cultivar G1812 contig597548, whole genome shotgun sequence.
UAUAUACUCUUUCCGUUCGGAAUUACUUGUCUUGGAAAUGGAUGUAUCUAAAACUAAAAUACGUCUAAAUACAUCCAUUUCUGCGACAAAUUUUAGUUUUAGAUACAUCCAUUUACAAGACAAGUAAUUCCGAACGGAAAGAGUAACAC